GCCCAGACUCCUACGGGAGGCAGCAGUGGGGAAUAUUGCACAAUGGGGGAAACCCUGAUGCAGCGACGCCGCGUGAAGGAUGAAGUAUUUCGGUAUGUAAACUUCUAUCAGCAGGGAAGAAAAUGACGGUACCUGACUAAGAAGCCCCGGCUAACUACGUGCCAGCAGCCGCGGUAAUACGUAGGGGGCAAGCGUUAUCCGGAUUUACUGGGUGUAAAGGGAGCGUAGACGGCAGCGCAAGUCUGGAGUGAAAUGCUGGGGCCCAACCCCGGAACUGCUUUGGAAACUGUGCAGCUCGAGUGCAGGAGAGGUAAGCGGAAUUCCUAGUGUAGCGGUGAAAUGCGUAGAUAUUAGGAGGAACACCAGUGGCGAAGGCGGCUUACUGGACUGUAACUGACGUUGAGGCUCGAAAGCGUGGGGAGCAAACAGGAUUAGAUACCCUCGUAAUA
rnacentral:rRNA from 1 species